rnacentral:rRNA from 1 species
UACGUAGGGACCAAGCGUUGUUCGGAUUUACUGGGCGUAAAGGGCGCGUAGGCGGCUUAACAAGUCACUUGUGAAAUCUCCGGGCUUAACUCGGAACGGCCAAGUGAAACUGUCAAGCUAGAGUGCAGAAGGGGCAAUCGGAAUUCUUGGUGUAGCGGUGAAAUGCGUAGAUAUCAUCUGGAACGCCAAUGGUAAAAACAGCUCGCUGGGGGUUUGCAGACGCUGAGACACGAAAGCCAGGGGAGCGAACGGG